AUGGCGACCGGCGCACGGGUGAGUAACGCGUAUCCAACCUGCCCUUUACUAUGGGACAGCCCGUCGAAAGGCGGAUUAAUACCGUAUGUUGUCAUGUUGAUGCAUUAUUUUCAUGACCAAAGGCUUCGGCCGGUAAAGGAUGGGGAUGCGUCUGAUUAGCUUGCCGGCGGGGUAACGGCCCACCGGGGCGACGAUCAGUAGGGGUUCUGAGAGGAAGGUCCCCCACAUUGGAACUGAGACACGGUCCAAACUCCUACGGAAGGCAGCAG
rnacentral:rRNA from 1 species